UACGUAGGGGGCAAGCGUUGUCCGGAUUUAUUGGGCGUAAAGAGCGUGUAGGCGGCCUGACAGGUCUGCUGUGAAAACUCGAGGCUCAACCUCGAGAUGUCGGCGGAAACCGUCUGGCUAGAGUCCGGAAGAGGAGAGUGGAAUUCCUGGUGUAGCGGUGAAAUGCGCAGAUAUCAGGAAGAACACCUAUGCGAAGGCAGCUCUCUGGGGACGGUACUGACGCUGAAGACGCGAAAAGCGUGGGGGAGCGAACAGGG
rnacentral:rRNA from 1 species